rnacentral:rRNA from 1 species
GAUCCUGGCUCAGGAUGAACGCUAGCUACAGGCUUAACACAUGCAAGUCGAGGGGCAGCAUGGUCUUAGCUUGCUAAGGCCGAUGGCGACCGGCGCACGGGUGAGUAACGCGUAUCCAACCUGCCCACCACUUGGGGAUAACCUUGCGAAAGUAAGACUAAUACCCAAUGAUAUCUCUAGAAGACAUCUGAAAGAGAUUAAAGAUUUAUCGGUGAUGGAUGGGGAUGCGU